UCCGGCUUAACGCCGGCAGUCUCGCCAGAGUCCCCAGCAUGACCUGAUGGCAACUGACGACAGGGGUUUCGCUCGUUAUAGGACUUAACCCGACACUUCACAGCACGAGCUGACGACAGCCAUGCAACACCUGUGCUAGUUUCACCCUUGCGGGUAGACUCCACGCAUUACCGUAAGUCAUCCUAGCAUGUCAAACCCGGGUAAGGUUCUUCGCGUUGCUUCGAAUUAAGCCACAUGCUCCACCGCUUGUGUGAGCCCCCGUCAAUUCCUUUGAGUUUUAGCCUUGCGGCCGUACUCCCCAGGCGGCACACUUAACACUUUUGCUUCGAUCCGGAGGAUAUCAGAACCUCCCGAAUCUAGUGUGCAUCGUUUAGGGCGUGGACUAC
rnacentral:misc_RNA from 1 species